rnacentral:rRNA from 1 species
UAUUGCGCAAUGGGGGAAACCCUGACGCAGCGACGCCGCGUGAACGAUGAAGGCCUUCGGGUCGUAAAGUUCUGUCCUCAGGGAAGAAUAAAUGACGGUACCUGAGGAGGAAGCCCCGGCUAACUACGUGCCAGCAGCCGCGGUAAUACGUAGGGGGCAAGCGUUGUCCGGAAUUACUGGGAGUAAAGGGUGCGUAGGCGGCCCUUUAAGUCAGAUGUGAAAGGCCACGGCUUAACCGUGGAACUGCAUUUGAAACUGGAGGGCUUGAGUGUCGGAGAGGGUAGUGGAAUUCCCGGUGUAGCGGUGAAAUGCGUAGAUAUUAGGAGGAACACCAGUGGCGAAGGCGACUCUCUGGACUGCAACUGACGCUGAGGCACGAAAGCGUGGGGAGCGAAC